UACGAAGGGGGCUAGCGUUGCUCGGAAUCACUGGGCGUAAAGCGCACGUAGGCGGAUCGUUAAGUCGGAGGUGAAAUCCUGGAGCUCAACUCCAGAACUGCCUUCGAUACUGGCGAUCUUGGAGUCCGGGAGAGGUGAGUGGAACUCCGAGUGUAGAGGUGAAAUUCGUAGAAUAUUCGGAAGAACACCAGUGGCGAAGGCGGGCUCACUGGCCCGGUACUGACGC
rnacentral:rRNA from 1 species